rnacentral:rRNA from 1 species
AACGUAGGACGCAAGCGUUAUCCGGAAUUACUGGGCGUAAAGCGCGUGUAGGCGGGUCAAUAAGUCACUGUUGAAAGCUCCAGGCUAAACCUGGAGAGGUGCGGUGAGACUGUUGGUCUGGAGAGUGUCAGAGGGAUGCAGAAUUCCGGGUGUAGUGGUGAAAUGCGUAGAGAUCCGGAGGAAUACCAGAGGCGAAGGCGGCAUCCUGGGACAUAUCUGACGCUGAGACGCGAAAGCAUGGGGAGCGAACGGG